rnacentral:rRNA from 1 species
GUAACAAGGUCUCCGUAGGUGAACCUGCGGAGGGAUCAUUACACAAAUAUGAAGGCGGGCUGGAACCUCUCGGGGUUACAGCCUUGCUGAAUUAUUCACCCUUGUCUUUUGCGUACUUCUUGUUUCCUUGGUGGGUUCGCCCACCACUAGGACAAACAUAAACCUUUUGUAAUUGCAAUCAGCGUCAGUAACAAAUUAAUAAUUACAACUUUCAACAACGGAUCUCUUGGUUCUGGCAUCGAUGAAGAACGCAGCGAAAUGCGAUAAGUAGUGUGAAUUGCAGAAUUCAGUGAAUCAUCGAAUCUUUGAACGCACAUUGCGCCCUUUGGUAUUCCAAAGGGCAUGCCUGUUCGAGCGUCAUUUGUACCCUCAAGCUUUGCUUGGUGUUGGGCGUCUUGUCUCUAGCUUUGCUGGAGACUCGCCUUAAAGUAAUUGGCAGCCGGCCUACUGGUUUCGGAGCGCAGCACAAGUCGCACUCUCUAUCAGCAAAGGUCUAGCAUCCAUUAAGCCUUUUUUUCAACUUUUGACCUCGGAUCAGGUA